rnacentral:rRNA from 1 species
CUGAGGUGCGAAAGCGUGGGAGCAAACGGGAUUAGAUACCCCGGUAGUCACGCUGUAAACGAUGUCUACUAGCCGUUGGAGGACUUGAUCCUUUAGUGGCGCAGCUAACGCGAUAAGUAGACCGCCUGGGGAGUACGGUCGCAAGAUUAAAACUCAAAUGAAUUGACGGGGGCCCGCACAAGCGGUGGAGCAUGUGGUUUAAUUCGAAGCAACGCGAAGAACCUUACCUACUCUUGACAUCCAGUGAACUUUUGAGAGAUCAAUUGGUGCCUUCGGGAACACUGAGACAGGUGCUGCAUGGCUGUCGUCAGCUCGUGUUGUGAAAUGUUGGGUUAAGUCCCGUAACGAGCGCAACCCUUGUCCUUAGUUACCAUCAUUAAGUUGGGGACUCUAAGGAGACUGCCGGUGACAAACCGGAGGAAGGCGGGGACGACGUCAAGUCAUCAUGGCCCUUACGAGUAGGGCUACACACGUGCUACAAUGGCAUGUACAAAGGGUUGCCAAGCCGCGAGGUGGAGCUAAUCCCAUAAAGCAUGUCGUAGUCCGGAUUGGAGUCUGCAACUCGACUCCAUGAAGUCGGAAUCGCUAGUAAUCGUGAAUCAGAAUGUCACGGUGAAUACGUUCCCGGGCCUUGUACACACCGCCCGUCACACCAUGGGAGUGGGUUGCUCCAGAAGUAGAUAGCUUAACCUUCGGGAGGGCGUUUACCACGGAGUGAUUCAUGACUGGGGUGAAGUCGUAACAAGGUAGCCGUA